rnacentral:rRNA from 1 species
CGGAACACGUACACAACCUUCCGAUAAGUGGGGAAUAGCCCAGAGAAAUUUGGAUUAAUACCCCGUAACAUAUAGAGUAGGCAUCUUCUUUAUAUUAUAGCUUCGGCGCUUAUUGAUGGGUGUGCGUCUGAUUAGGCAGUUGGCGGGGUAACGGCCCACCAAGCCUACGAUCAGUAGCUGAUGUGAGAGCAUGAUCAGCCACACGGGCACUGAGACACGGGCCCG